GCGUGCGAUGACACACCCAGUUUGCGAUAGAUUCUGAGGGGGCACCAGGAUUUGAACCUAGGACCUCUUGAUCUGCAGUCAAAUGCUCUACCACUGAGCUAUACCCCCUUUCCGCACACGGAUGUGCCCCAAGGGACAUGUUUUUUUUGUCUGAAACUGGAACGCAAACGCUGCAGAGCUUUUUGCAAUAAGCCCUUUCUCUCUGGACAACCCCCAUUGGCAUUUCAGCUUGGGGAUGUAGCUCAGUGGUAGAGCGCAUGCUUCGCAUGUAUGAGGUCCCGGGAUCGUUCCCCGGCAUCUCCAAAAGCGCUUGAAGACGGGGUCUUUUGUAAACUCCAAGGGAACUAUCCUCAGCUCAGCAGCAGGUGACAGUGGUCAGUCGAGUGAACAGGGCAGAGAGCUUACUUGAUUUUUCAUACAUUUUAAUCAACACGGCAGCUCUUCUUUGGAGGCCUUGUCAACCUUAAUGCAGGAAGGUACCUAGCCAGACUCAGUAGCAUCCAUUUUGGAGUCUUUUGUCACAUUUACUUCCUCGGAAUGGGUUUGGAUAUUGCAGCUUGAAGUCAAAAGGCCAUGUCAGAAGUGGGAUUCGAACCCACGCCUCCAUUCGGAGACCAGAAAUCCCUCAACUGAGGAAGGUACACCACCUUGAGUCUGGCGCCUUAGACCGCUCGGCCAUCCUGACUUGAACAGUAGGGAAAAAAACAGCUCCAACCUUGUUGGUCGAAAGCUCUUGGGUUUAUUUGAGUUCUGGUUGAACAGUUGUGGCAAACGAUGGAGAAACCGAACCUGAUGGCUUCCCUCGAAAAGCAGAGCAGGUGGCAUUUAUCAUACUCUUUGUGCGUGCGAUGACACACCCAGUUUGCGAUAGAUUCUGAGGGGGCACCAGGAUUUGAACCUAGGACCUCUUGAUCUGCAGUCAAAUGCUCUACCACUGAGCUAUACCCCCUUUAGGCACAGCGAUGUGCCCCAAGGGACAUGUUUUUUUUGUCUGAAACUGGAACGCAAACGCUGCAGAGCUUUUUGCAAUAAGCCCUUUCUCUCUGGACAACCCCCAUUGGCUUUGCAGCUUGGGGAUGUAGCUCAGUGGUAGAGCGCAUGCUUUGCAUGUAUGAGGUCCCGGGAUCGUUCCCCGGCAUCUCCAAAAGCGCUUGAAGACGGGGUCUUUUGUAAACUCCAAGGGAACUAUCCUCAGCUCAGCAGCAGGUGACAGUGGUCAGUCGAGUGAACAGGGCAGAGAGCUUACUUGAUUUUUCAUACAUUUUAAUCAACACGGCAGCUCUUCUUUGGAGGCCUUGUCAACCUUAAUGCAGGAAGGUACC
ensembl:lncRNA